rnacentral:rRNA from 1 species
UGACUCCAGAAUACCACCUGAAUGUGCCUAGUCUCCUCUGAUCUGGGGAGAAAAGCAGGGUCAGGCCUGGUUAUAUUUGAAUGGGGGGGCACUAGGAAAUACCAGGUGCUGUAUUGAC